GGGGGUACGGAUAUUAAAUGAAAUAGUCCAAUAUUGUUUUAACUUUUAAACUAAGUAAAUAUUUGGAGCACUAUGUCUAUAAAAUUUGAAAAGGAGAUUGAAAUUUGCAAGAUACCCAUUCAAAUGUCGACGACUUUCAAUUGACUGAAUUUGCAAACAGGCUGAAGCCUGAAAUAUUUUAAUAAAGGUAAGUAUUUGUUUUCUAGUUUUAUCGUAAUGCAUGAAUAGGCGGA